rnacentral:rRNA from 1 species
AUUGAACGCUGGCGGCAGGCCUAACACAUGCAAGUCGAACGGUAACAGGAAGAAGCUUGCUUCUUUGCUGACGAGUGGCGGACGGGUGAGUAAUGUCUGGGAAACUGCCUGAUGGAGGGGGAUAACUACUGGAAACGGUAGCUAAUACCGCAUAACGUCGCAAGACCAAAGAGGGGGACCUUCGGGCCUCUUGCCAUCGGAUGUGCCCAGAUGGGAUUAGCUAGUAGGUGGGGUAACGGCUCACCUAGGCGACGAUCCCUAGCUGGUCUGAGAGGAUGACCAGCCACACUGGGACUGAGACACGGUCCAGACUCCUACGGGAGGCAGCAGUGGGGAAUAUUGCACAAUGGGCGCAAGCCUGAUGCAGCCAUGCCGCGUGUAUGAAGAAGGCCUUCGGGUUGUAAAGUACUUUCAGCGGGGAGGAAGGGAGUAAAGUUAAUACCUUUGCUCAUUGACGUUACCCGCAGAAGAAGCACCGGCUAACUCCGUG